CCUACGGGAGUCUGCAGUGAGGAAUAUUGGUCAAUGGACGAGAGUCUGAACCAGCCAAGUAGCGUGAAGGAUGACUGCCCUAUGGGUUGUAAACUUCUUUUAUAUGGGAAUAAAAUGUUCCACGUGUGGGAUUUUGUAUGUACCAUAUGAAUAAGGAACGGCUAAAUUCGUGCAAGCAGCGGCGGUACUACGGAGGAUCCGUGCGUUAUCCGGAUUUAUUGGGUUUAAAGGGAGCGUAGGUGGAUUGUUAUGUCAGUUGUGAAAGUUUGCGGCUCAACCGUACAAUUGCAGUUGGAACUGGCAGUCUUGAGUACAGUAGAGGUGGGCGGAAUUCGUGGUGUAGCGGUGAAAUGCUGAGAUAUCACGGAGAACUCCGAUUGCGAAGGCAGUUCACUGGACUGCAACUGACACUGAGGCUCGAAAGUGUGGGUAUCAAACAGGAUUAGAUACCCCCGGUAGUC
rnacentral:rRNA from 1 species